GAAGCGCGAAAUGUAGUGUGAAUCGCAGAACAUUGUGAAUCAUCGAAUCUUUGAACGCACAUUGCGCCUCCUGUUACAGGGAGGCAUGCCUGUCUGAGCGUCAUUUAAACUAUAAAUCCCUUUGGGUUUGUAUUGGGCUUCGCCGCCUGUCGGUGUGGCCUUGAAGACAUCGGUCAAACGAGUGGACGAGAUCCAUCUGGGACUUACUGUUUGGAGGACCUAAAACCAUUGAGUUGACCUCAGAUCAGGUAGGACUACCGCCUGAACUUAA
rnacentral:misc_RNA from 1 species